CAGCUGAGAGUAAAACCACCCGAGCCACUGAUUUGAUAGGUUCCUCUCUGUCUAUGUAGCUGGAAGUCUGGAAGGCGAACGCCGAAUGGAGAUUGCUUUCGCCGUCCCCCAACGCCACCACCAGCCCAACGGCGCCGUCACCUGCCCCACCGGAACCCUGACGCCGUUAACCGACCUCGCCUCCGCCCUCAACCACGCCGCCAAGCUCCUCUCCACCUCCUCCUCAUCUUCCUCCGCCACUGCCGUCGCCUCUCUCCGGAACGCGCAUCAGAAGAUCGGCUCCUUCCUUGCCGAUCUCGAUUCCCGGCUGCCCGCUGGCGGCGAGGACGAGCCGAUGUCCGAUCGGUGGGAGGGGGAGGACGAAGGGGACGGUGGCGGAGGGUCGCGCAUCAUCGAGGAGGUGGAGGAAGGGAUGAGGGAGUGGGUCCUCCAGAGCAAGCGGAGGAAGCGCCAGGUGUCCCCCUCGUGGUCCCUCGGGCGGGCUGCCGAUCAGUGGGAGGAGCUCUCGUCCAUCCAUCCCAUGGACAGCCGGCGAUCGUCGAUGGAUCUCGUCUUCCAGUUCCAUGCGUAAGCUAUGGAGAAAUUGCUCUCCUGAAGUUAGAGAAAAUCCUAGGUGGUCACAGAUGGGACAUGGCGAGCCUGUUCCAGUGAGAAUGCCAUUCUGAUUAUUAGCUGACAGUUUCUGUUCUGACAAGAAACAUCUUAUUGUUAAGUAUCAUUGGGUCAACUUGAUCAUGUUGUCAAUAUGUGGACCAGGCUUUGGCCUUAGAGAUACAAUUGUCCUUCUCGGUAGAGGCGGUGCUAGAGUGAUUUCGUUACUUCGCUGAUUUGUCAACCUGUCUUGCCAGGAUGUUCACAGGUGAUUGCUCAAUUUAAGGGACAAUUCCAAGGAAGAUCAUCUGUUUUUGAAGUUCCGUUUGAAUGCGCUGACCUGUGUUAAGCAACAAAUUCUUCCGAGUUACACAGAGUGCAGUUCUCAAGCUCUUCUUAUACCACGAGUGGCAUGUUUUAAGUAGCAAGUUUUUCUGACUUAACACACAUUAGUUCUUUAUCUUUUCCUUCACCAGGAGGAAACAAAUUGGUUUAUGUGCAUGCAUAUUUGGUGUUUUGAACUGCUUAGAGUCGUAUAUACCUGAGACGGAAACGUUGUUUUUCUUGGUUGCUCUUGACUGUUGUAUAACGCAUAAUGUAUAUUUGGUGUACCGUUGACUGCUUUAUGACCCAAGCCUGAGAUUGCUGGUUCCAAGUCUGCAA